AAAUCCCAUCAUCUCUUAAAAUUCUAUAGACGCCGCUCCUUUCUCCCUACCAUCUCAGGCCAACGAUGCUGGUCCCAAACGACCCCAAAAUAACACCCUGUAACCCCCAAGACCCCCUCACAAACCCCACUCCGUUUGCUUCGAAUCUCCCCGAAACCUCUCGAAUUUUAGAUCGAAAGAUGAAUCCUAAAAUUCCCAAAAGCGUCCAAAUUGAAAUUUUGUUGAAGAUAUAGGUCUAAUUUGAUUUUAUUCCUGUGUACUUUAUAAGAACAUACAAUUAAUAUCAGAUUUGGUCAAAAAUUGAAGGGUUUGAAGACUCAGGCUCCAUUUUUCACUAUCCGAACAUUGGUAUGGUUUUCUUUUCUUUUUCUCCUUGGUUUAAUCUUUUCUUCAUUUUUCUAUUUUUUUGCUUCUUCUCGUCGUCUUAAUUCUUAUUUUUCUAGUUUCUCCAAGGACGUUUUUCUUUGCAUGUUAGUUUUAAAUUAUUUUUCUUUAAUUAAUGUAUUUAGUCUAUUAAUUAGUUUAAUUUAGAUUUGUUAAUUUAGUUGAUUAGUUAAUACGUCAUUUAGUCUAGAUUUUCUGAUUGUCGUAGCCAUUUCAGUAUUCAUGUUAUCAUGUGCUUACAAAAGUUUUUUAAUUAGAUAAGUGUGUCGUUUGGGAUUUGAGAUGUCUCUAAUUCAUUUGACAAAGAGUAGCCCGUUCAAAUUGGUUUGGGUUAUUGGGUCAAUUGUGACCCAUUAUUGUAUUGAUUUUUCAGAAGUAAUUAACAAGGCUUAAAGGGGUAAAUUAGGAAUUGUAGGUAAGUGAAUCAUUUGUAAUAGCGUAAGGAAACUUCUAGGAAGCUAGAUGUUGGGACUAAUGUGGAAAGUUCAUUUUUAAAGUAAGGGUUUUAAGCUAAAAUGAAAAUAUCAAAAGGUACAAAGUGCAAAUAUGAUUUUUUAGGCUGCCCUAACAGCUUGCCUAUAAAGGCAUGUUACUUUGUAUUCAAGUCAGAUUCUUAGAGAUAAAAAAAAAGACUGAAAAAAAUGGCUGGAGAUAUUGAAAGGGGUAUGAAAAUAUGAUAAAAUCAUUGUUCCAUAGAAUUUCUUCUUUAGUUCAUGAGGUUUUCAAUUUCUAAAAUUAUUUCUGAUUCAUCUGGUGUUUGAAAAAGGUUUAAAGAAGUUGAGUUCACUGUUGUUGAAUUGCUGGCGGGAUUUACUCUAUUGCUAUUGAUUCUCUCAUCUCUUUCUUGCUUUGAUUUUUGCAUCGAGGUACUUCUUGGUUCUCUGAAUAUAUGAGAUGCAAGUUUGGAGUAUUGUAAUUGAUUAAAGAUUUUAGAAAUGAAUAUUAUCCUCCUCCUAUGGAAAUCUAGCUAUGUCUUUUAGGAAUUUCUAAAGUAGUGUAAUGUAACUAUGAUUUAUCGUAUUCAUUCUUAUCCUUCAUGUUGCAUUCUGUCUUAAGGUGGGAUAUGAGGUCUGUUAAUCUAUCGAGUUGGAGGUAUUUGCAUGGAGAAUACCUCGUGUUGGUUUGUUGCUCACCUAUGUAUGGUUUAUAAGUUGCCCAUAAUCAGGAUAAUCGUGUGAACCUAUAAAGACCGGUAACGGAUUUUUGGAGUUUAAUUUCAGAAUUAGUAAUUUUCAUUAUUCAGUUUCGGAUCUUUUGUAUCUUGUUUGCUUUAGAGGUACUUUGAAAUCCAUGUUGUAUUCAAAGAUGAUGGGUGAAUCAAAAUUCAAUAUGAGCUUGGGUUGGGGGGGAGGCUUCUGGUUCUGUUAAUUAUUGGAUAAUUUGUGUAAGGGUGUAUUAUUGCAUAGGGAUUGUAUCUUUGCUUUAAAGUCUAUGUUAGCCUUAAAAUUUGGGUUGCAUUUGAGUUAAAAGAUUAUUAAUAUUUACUUAAUGCCAAAUUUUCUUAAGUGAUACAUUUUGCUUCAAGUAUGUUUGCUGAAUCAUGUUAUGGAAUGUCAUAAUUGGCCCAAUUGCUAUUAUGUUAACAAUAAACUGGAGGUUUAGUUAGUCAAUUUGUGCUUGAAUAGUUAAAAUUUAGAAAUGAAACCGUUAAUUCAGUUGUAUGUUUUGAUUGGAUUUGCAUUUUGGUGAUAUUAUGUCAACGAUUGAUUUUUCUGUAACUUGAGCUUAAGUUGGCCCCGCAAAAGAACACCCUCUUUAGACUCGUUUGCAUGUCCUGCAUUCUUAAUGUCUGUUAUUUUGAGAAUUGGGCUCAUCUUGGGCCCCAAACCAGAAAAGAUGGGCAAAAUGGAAUUGUAUACUCUUGUAUUUUUAGGCUAGCCCUUUUAACUUCCCUUCUGAAUGGUAUUGAUGGCUUGAAAUGUUUCUCUUCUUUUUAAAUAAUCAACAACGUUAUUCUUUAAAAUGUUUUCCUCUUCUAAUUAGUUUGGACAUUACCUUAAAGUAGAAUUCAAUUUCCGUUAAUGUUUAAUUAAUUAGAUCUUUUCAAUUAGCGGAGGCGGCAGUAUUAAACAAAAUAUACCUUAUGGC
rnacentral:lncRNA from 1 species